CAUGAAGUCUGGUUUGUUCAAUUUCACACAAUGAGAAAUUCUUGGCUGGAUCAUCAAGUGUUAAAUAAGCUAUUAUAUUGGAGGAGAGCAAAGAGCGGCUUGGAACCAAUGGUAGCUUUGCUACAGCUUGUUUCUCUAUAUCGAAGGUCUAUUUAGAAGAGGUAGCUAAUGUAAUCAUGCAUAUUCUGUUGGACUUUGAGCUCCUUGAACUAGUCACACUUCCAGGUAACUAUAUCUUUGUUUUUAUGUUUGUUUCAUUGAUGUUGGUUUCUUAAGUGUCUUGCUCUUUUGAUUUUUUGUUUUGUUUUCUGCUCUAUUGUUGUUUCAGAGAUAAACUGAUUGUACUCAGAUACAUGGUUAAUUUUUACUCACAAAGUUGUCCACGAAUUAAUCAUAUAUUGUGAUUUAUUAAGAUCCUCUAAUCUUGAGAGCAUACACAAUGAUUUUGUUAUAUGUAAUGAUAUAUUUUCUGGAAUGCUGCUUAUACAAGAAUAUAUUAUAUCACAUAUGUGAACCUUUGUUAUACUCUCUUCUCAUGAAGUUGAAACUUUAUAGAACAUUAGAGCUCAUAUGUUUCCAUUUUUCCUUUGAGCCCAACAUCUUUUUGUUCUUUGCUUUGUAUCCUUCACAGUUUUUUAUAACAUUAUUCUUCGAGUCUGAUACACCAGAUUUCUACUUGUCUGAAAUUUGUUGUUGUUGUUGUUGUUGUGAGUUGUUA